rnacentral:rRNA from 1 species
GUGGGGUGACGGCCUACCAAGGCGACGACGGGUAGCCGGCCUGAGAGGGUGUCCGGCCACACUGGGACUGAGAUACGGCCCAGACUCCUACGGGAGGCAGCAGUGGGGAAUAUUGCACAAUGGGCGCAAGCCUGAUGCAGCGACGCCGCGUGGGGGAUGACGGCCUUCGGGUUGUAAACCUCUUUCAGCAGGGACGAAGCGCAAGUGACGGUACCUGCAGAAGAAGCACCGGCCAACUACGUGCCAGCAGCCGCGGUAAUACGUAGGGUGCGAGCGUUGUCCGGAAUUACUGGGCGUAAAGAGCUCGUAGGUGGUUUGUCGCGUUGUUCGUGAAAACCGGGGGCUUAACCCUCGGCGUGCGGGCGAUACGGGCAGACUGGAGUACUGCAGGGGAGACUGGAAUUCCUGGUGUAGCGGUGGAAUGCGCAGAUAUCAGGAGGAACACCGGUGGCGAAGGCGGGUCUCUGGGCAGUAACUGACGCUGAGGAGCGAAAGCGUGGGGAGCGAACAGGAUUAGAUACCCUGGUAGUCCACGCCGUAAACGGUGGGUACUAGGUGUGGGUUUCCUUCCUUGGAAUCCGUGCCGUAGCUA